GAUGCCGGUAUUUCUAUCCGUUCAGGCAACGAACAGGGCUUAGUUGAUAGGCUCAGGAUGAACGCUGGCGGCGUGCUUAACACAUGCAAGUCGAACGAUGACUUCUGUGCUUGCACAGAAUGAUUAGUGGCGAACGGGUGAGUAACACGUGAGUAACCUGCCCUUAACUUCGGGAUAAGCCUGGGAAACCGGGUCUAAUACCGGAUACGACCUCCUGGCGCAUGCCAUGGUGGUGGAAAGCUUUAGCGGUUUUGGAUGGACUCGCGGCCUAUCAGCUUGUUGGUUGGGGUAAUGGCCCACCAAGGCGACGACGGGUAGCCGGCCUGAGAGGGUGACCGGCCACACUGGGACUGAGACACGGCCCAGACUCCUACGGGAGGCAGCAGUGGGGAAUAUUGCACAAUGGGCGAAAGCCUGAUGCAGCGACGCCGCGUGAGGGAUGACGGCCUUCGGGUUGUAAACCUCUUUCAGCAGGGAAGAAGCGAAAGUGACGGUACCUGCAGAAGAAGCGCCGGCUAACUACGUGCCAGCAGCCGCGGUAAUACGUAGGGCGCAAGCGUUAUCCGGAAUUAUUGGGCGUAAAGAGCUCGUAGGCGGUUUGUCGCGUCUGCUGUGAAAGCCCGGGGCUCAACCCCGGGUCUGCAGUGGGUACGGGCAGACUAGAGUGCAGUAGGGGAGACUGGAAUUCCUGGUGUAGCGGUGAAAUGCGCAGAUAUCAGGAGGAACACCGAUGGCGAAGGCAGGUCUCUGGGCUGUAACUGACGCUGAGGAGCGAAAGCAUGGGGAGCGACAGGAUUAGAUACCCUGGUAGUCCAUGCCGUAAACGUUGGGCACUAGGUGUGGGGGACAUUCCACGUUUUCCGCGCCGUAGCUAACGCAUUAAGUGCCCCGCCUGGGGAGUACGGCCGCAAGGCUAAAACUCAAAGGAAUUGACGGGGGCCCGCACAAGCGGCGGAGCAUGCGGAUUAAUUCGAUGCAACGCGAAGAACCUUACCAAGGCUUGACAUGAACCGGUAAGACCUGGAAACAGGUCCCCCACUUGUGGCCGGUUUACAGGUGGUGCAUGGUUGUCGUCAGCUCGUGUCGUGAGAUGUUGGGUUAAGUCCCGCAACGAGCGCAACCCUCGUUCUAUGUUGCCAGCGGGUUAUGCCGGGGACUCAUAGGAGACUGCCGGGGUCAACUCGGAGGAAGGUGGGGACGACGUCAAAUCAUCAUGCCCCUUAUGUCUUGGGCUUCACGCAUGCUACAAUGGCCGGUACAAAGGGUUGCGAUACUGUGAGGUGGAGCUAAUCCCAAAAAGCCGGUCUCAGUUCGGAUUGAGGUCUGCAACUCGACCUCAUGAAGUUGGAGUCGCUAGUAAUCGCAGAUCAGCAACGCUGCGGUGAAUACGUUCCCGGGCCUUGUAC
rnacentral:rRNA from 1 species